rnacentral:rRNA from 1 species
AGUGUGACUCGUCACACUAUCAUUAACUGAAUCCAUAGGUUAAUGAGGCGAACCGGGGGAACUGAAACAUCUAAGUACCCCGAGGAAAAGAAAUCAACCGAGAUUCCCCCAGUAGCGGCGAGCGAACGGGGAGGAGCCCAGAGCCUGAAUCAGCAUGUGUGUUAGUGGAAGCGUCUGGAAAGGCGCGCGAUACAGGGUGACAGCCCCGUACACAAAAGCGCAUGUGCUGUGAGCUCGAUGAGUAGGGCGGGACACGUGGUAUCCUGUCUGAAUAUGGGGGGACCAUCCUCCAAGGCUAAAUACUCCUGACUGACCGAUAGUGAACCAGUACCGUGAGGGAAAGGCGAAAAGAACCCCGGCGAGGGGAGUGAAAAAGAACCUGAAACCGUGUACGUACAAGCAGUGGGAGCCCCACCACCAAAGCAUUUGCUGUACCGCGUUGACGGAGCGAAGCGACGUCAAACCGAUAAAACAGCAGUGUAAAGUGAGCCGCAGGGCGCUUUGCGCGACAGCGCAAAGGCAGGCGGUUUCGCGUAGCGAAAGCGAAUGCUUUGGGGUGGGGUGACUGCGUACCUUUUGUAUAAUGGGUCAGCGAC